rnacentral:rRNA from 1 species
UACGUAGGGUGCGAGCGUUUAAUCGGAAUUACUGGGCGUAAAGCGUGCGCAGGCGGUUCGUUAAGUUCGUUGUGAAAGCCCCGGGCUCAACCUGGGAACUGCAAUGGAAACUGGCGGGCUUGAGUGUGGCAGAGGGGGGUGGAAUUCCUGGUGUAGCGGUGAAAUGCGCAGAUAUCAGGAAGAACACCAAUGGCGAAAGCAGCUCUCUGGGACGGUACUGACGCUGAGACGCGAAAGCGUGGGGAGCGAACAGG